rnacentral:rRNA from 1 species
GACGGAGGGUGCAAGCGUUGUUCGGAUUGACUGGGCGUAAAGGGCGUGUAGGCGGUCGGCCAAGUCUGAUGUGAAAGCCCGAGGCUCAGCCUCGGAAGUGCGUCGGAAACUAGUCGGCUGGAGCGCGAUAGAGGAGGGUGGAAUUCCUGGUGUAGCGGUGAAAUGCGUAGAUAUUGGGAGGAACACCAGUGGCGAAGGCGGCUCGCUGGACCGGUUCUGACGCUGAGGCGCGAAAGCGUGGGGAGCAAACGGG